CUCCCCCACAGGUCAUGUAAUCAGAAAUAAUGGGCAGGGGUUAAAGAUAAAAUCCAAAUAUUUAUUCCCAAAUCAAUAAAAAUUCUUACUUAUAAAAACACAGCAAGCUGCAUACAAGGAAUCUUCCAAGGUCAAACACAACACGUUUCGGCUGGAUGCCUUCAUCAGGUUCAUAAAGAUGUGAUCCUCCUUUCUCCUCUUUUAUGUCAUUGUUUGGCGCCAAAAAAUCAUAUUAGCCCCGCCCCCUUUUCAUUGCGUCACUUCCGGUCCGACGUGAUGUGGAUUUCCGGUUUCGGCUAGGCAUUAGUAGCAACAUAUACGCCAUCUUGGUACACCCUGAGGGACCUCCCAGGGUGUAUUUCAUUCCCAUACUGGCAGUCUAAAUGUUCUUAGGUCCAUAUCUAAUACAUAUUUGUAUAGGACGACCGGAAGUACUCCGGCGGCCAGUUUUAAUAAGGUAAUACAGUAUGGGCAGGGAGACAAGAAGAGAAAAUAAAGAGAGAGCAGCAUCAAUAAUUACAAAAAUAACAUAUAUUAAAAAAGUGUAGAAUACAGACUAAGAACAGAAUCUGUCUAUGUUCCAAUAUACAAAUGUGCAUAUAUUAUUAUUUAAAGCUGUAUUACACAUACCCCAAUAUUAUUAUUUAAAGCUGUAUUACACAUACCCCAAGGUAACAAAAAAAAGGGUGUUUUAAUAUGAACCAUUCAGGACUAAAAAAACAGGGUAAUAAAAGAGAGUAAUAAGAGAGAAAAAUAUAUGCAAGGACAAAAUAAAACCUUUUUCUGAAUGGCUAGAAAGGUGGAUAUAUUAAAUAUAGUUAAAAAUCUCAAAAUCUAUGUUCAUGCCAGCAGGGGAUAAAGUAUCUAGCUCAAAAAUCCACCUCAUCUCCGUUUUAUUAAAACUCCUAAUAAAAUCUCCCCCUCUCCAAGGUUUUUUUACGCUUUCAAUUCCUAUAAAAUGUAAGCAUUUAGGAUCCCCACUAUGGUAUUGGGCAAAGUGGGCAGACACUGAAUGAUUUAGGACUUUUUUCUUAAUAUUGCGAAUAUGCUCGCCUAUAUCUCCAAAAUAAAAUGACGUGCAGCCGGGCACAAAGUGAUCACCAUGGAAACCGUGGAAGCUCCUAUACAGGAUCGUAGAAAAAAGUUACUUUUUUCUACGAUCCUGUAUAGGAGCUUCCACGGUUUCCAUGGUGAUCACGUUUUGCCCGGCCGCACGUCAUCACGUGAUGACGUCAGGAGGCGGUCCGUACUCACUUUCGGGUUUCGGUGGCGGGCUAAGGGUUUCACGCUGAACUGGAUUGGUAAGAGCACUAAUAUUGUAUGGUUAUAUAUUUUCAAUGUUUUGACCGUGAUAGUAACCUUGAAAAAGACCCGCAGGGGUCGAAACGUCGGUUGGUUGGUUGGUUUUGCGUUAUGCACAUAAUUUAAAUAAAUUAGAGUAUAUUUUUUCACCAAGUCCUGUGAGUGCAUCUUGGAUUCUUAUCUUCUUACAUAUUGGACGCAUCACGGAUUGCACCUAGGCGGGUAUAUUGGAAUAUGGAGG